rnacentral:rRNA from 1 species
ACACAUGCAAGUCGAGCGGGGAGAUGGUAGNCUUGCGUACACUUUCCUAGCGGCGGACGGGUGAGUAAUGCUUAGGAAUCUGCCUAUUAGUGGGGGACAACAUUCCGAAAGGAAUGCUAAUACCGCAUACGCCCUACGGGGGAAAGCAGGGGAUCUUCGGACCUUGCGCUAAUAGAUGAGCCUAAGUCAGAUUAGCUAGUUGGUGGGGUAAAGGCCUACCAAGGCGACGAUCUGUAGCGGGUCUGAGAGGAUGAUCCGCCACACUGGGACUGAGACACGGCCCAGACUCCUACGGGAGGCAGCAGUGGGGAAUAUUGGACAAUGGGCGCAAGCCUGAUCCAGCCAUGCCGCGUGUGUGAAGAAGGCCUUUUGGUUGUAAAGCACUUUAAGCGAGGAGGAGGCUACUUGGAUUAAUACUCUAGGAUAGUGGACGUUACUCGCAGAAUAAGCACCGGCUAACUCUGUGCCAGCAGCCGCGGUAAUACAGAGGGUGCGAGCGUUAAUCGGAUUUACUGGGCGUAAAGCGUGCGUAGGCGGCUUUUUAAGUCGGAUGUGAAAUCCCUGAGCUUAACUUAGGAAUUGCAUUCGAUACUGGGAAGCUAGAGUAUGGGAGAGGAUGGUAGAAUUCCAGGUGUAGCGGUGAAAUGCGUAGAGAUCUGGAGGAAUACCGAUGGCGAAGGCAGCCAUCUGGCCUAAUACUGACGCUGAGGUACGAAAGCAUGGGGAGCAAACAGGAUUAGAUACCCUGGUAGUCCAUGCCGUAAACGAUGUCUACUAGCC